UGACAUAGUUUGUGUACCCAAGUCCAUCUUCUAAUUUGUAUUGAGCAAAUUAAACGACAACUUGACUUUAAUUUUUUUAUUUUUUUUUCAUAUCAUCUUCAGCAAAUCAUUCAUAUAAUGCUUUAUCCGAACUUUUAACAGGUUUCUCAAACUUUUUUUAAAAACCAUUUUUACUUUUAACUGGAUUUCUAACCCCAAAACAUUAGGAAUCAAC
rnacentral:lncRNA from 1 species